GGGAGACGAGCCUAGAUUAUCUCCUCCAUCCUCCCGUUCCACUCUUACCCAUUUCCGCUUCACUGUCCGCCGGACGACGACCAAAUCCCCACGAAAUCCCUAGGGCUUCUCCGCGAGCACGGCCAGCGGGAGAGCCGAGGACAAAUUAAACCACGGAGAAAGACGACGGACCGGCGAAGGGUCCCGCAGCAGUUCGACGGGGUGAGGGCGGGGCGCGCCCGCCGGAGAAGGAGGAGAAGGUAGCAGCUACGGGAAGAUGGCGGGGGUGGAGCUGGUGGUUCUACGGGAGGCGGCGGCGACCCCGGGGGGAGACGUGAGAUCCUGCUGCUUCGACGACGAACCCGAGGUCAGUUUGUCCUACCUUCCCCGCUCGCUCACACACCUCGCGGGUUGUUGGGGUUUCGUCGCCGACGCCAUCGUCGUCAUUAACGGACGCAGAAUAGAUCGCUGAUGGUUCCGCGGGGGGUAGAUCAAACGAAUAGGCUCCGAGGAAUAGGGAGGGAGGGGAAGGGAUUUUUUGGCUGCUGGAUCCUUUGUGUUUUCGUGGAGGUGCUCCAGAUGUAGGAUGCGGCAUCCUCUGUUCAUCUGAGUUUUUCUCAGUAAGCACUACUGGAACCUACAGGGAUCCUAUUCACCUACGCAGGCACAGAGUAACAUCGUGUUUUGGUAGGCAAAUCAGACAUGAGAUAGGCAAUAAUCAGGCAUACUGAUCCUAUUCACCUACGCAGACAUACUAAUAAUGGGUUAGUAUGCAAUAAUCAGACAUAGGUUAGUAUGCAACCAGACAUAGGCUAGCAGGAAAUCAGAAUAGAAAUAGGCAACACUUUUAGCUUUUGUGGGCAAUUAGAAAGAAGAUAAGUAGGCAAUAAUCAGAAUAGAAAUAGGCUACACUUUUUGUUUCUGUAGGCAAUUAGAAAGAAGAUAAGUAGACAAUAGUGAGUAUGAAAAGAUGCGGGUUUAAUUACUUCAGAGAAAUUAUCACAAGCAGAUGAAGAUAUGUGUAUUUUCUAGAGUGGUUUUAGAAACUGUCAGCAUGCCCCAAAUCUGAUCUAUGAUGACUUCUCAAUGAAUCCAUUGGAACAGAAUCAAUAGCAUCCUUUUUUUGAUUUUCUUCAUGUGCAAUAUUUUUUCCGGACAAGCAUCUUUCUCUCUCUGUGAUGAGUAGUGCCCAAUGCUUCUGCUUCUCUUGGGAGAGUUGCACAUUUCCACUCCUGAGUUUAUUUCAGCUUCACUGUUUGCUGAGUUUAGUGGAGUAACAUUUUUAGAAUUAGUACACUGUGGAAAUACCACAGGGCCUUUUCAUUCUUUUUUCCUUUUUUCCAGGUUUAUUUUGUCCAAUCUGCUGACACCGAAACAGGAUACAGCUACGAAAAUUAUAUUUUUAGGUAUUCCAGGAUCAUAGUCCAGUUGAUCAGGGGUGGGGGUGGGCAAGUUUUUGCAAAUGAAUCUGUAGUUAUCAUAGGCAAGUUUUUCUCAAAUGCAGGCUGGUAGGGGUCAGGGAGCCUUUACAGCACGGCAAAUAUACAUAGCUGACUGAUAGGGUUUUUUUGGGGAAUUUUUCACUGAUAGUUUUUAACAAAGAAGCCACACGAAGCUCACAUAUCUCUUCCCACAUGCUUGUAUUUUUUCACAGCAGGGACAGAUUUGUUUUUUGUUGCUGAAAACACGGGAUUGAUCGCCUCCCAAUUUUCAUCAAGUUGCCCAAGGAUAGCAGACAGCCAAAAUCGCCUAACCACGCACGGCAAGUCGGCAAAAUCAACGAGCUUUAGUCGCCUACUAAACAACACUUCGGUGUCGCCCACCGCCAUGUGCUUAGUCGCCUUCCAUUUUUUCAUCAAGUCGCCCAAGGAAAGCAGACACCCAAAAAUCGACUAACAGGGAGGGGGCGCAUCUCGCCUACCAGAGUCAGCUAGUGUUACCUCACCUGACGAACCAAGUCGUCUAGAAAACCCACGACCAUCCACCUCGAAAUUGCCUAACACGCAGGGACGCAUCUUGCCUCCCUCGGUGGCCUAGUGUUGCCUCACCAGACGAACCAAGUCGCCCAAAAACUCAUGACCACCCAACCCAAAAUCGCCUAACACGGGAGGGGGCGCUUCUUGCCUCCCUCGAUGGCCUAGUGUUGCCUCACCAGACAAACCAAGUCGCCCAAAAACUCAUGACCACCCAACCCCAAAUCGCCUAAUACGGGAGGGAGCGCCUCUCGCCUCCCUCGGUGGCCUAGUGUUGCCUCACCAGACAAACCAAGUCGCCCAAAAACUCAUGACCACCCAACNNNNNNNNNNNNNNNNNNNNNNNNNNNNNNNNNNNNNNNNNNNNNNNNNNNNNNNNNNNNNNNNNNNNNNNNNNNNNNNNNNNNNNNNNNNNNNNNNNNNNNNNNNNNNNNNNNNNNNNNNNNNNNNNNNNNNNNNNNNNNNNNNNNNNNNNNNNNNNNNNNNNNNNNNNNNNNNNNNNNNNNNNNNNNNNNNNNNNNNNNNNNNNNNNNNNNNNNNNNNNNNNNNNNNNNNNNNNAACCCAUGACCAUCCACACCCGAAUUUUCCUAACACGGGAGGGGGCGCUUCUUGCCUCCCUCGGUGGCCUAGUGUCGCCUCACUAGAUGGAUCAAGUCGCCCAAAAACUCUUGACCACCCAACCAAAAAUCGCCUAACACGGGAGGGGGCACUUCUUGCCUCCCUCGGUGGCCUAGUGUCACCUCACCAAACGAACCAAGUUGCCCAAAAACUCAUGACCACCCAACCCAAAAUCGCCUAACACGGGAGGGAGCGCAUCUCGCCUCCCUCGGUGGCCUAUUGUCGCCUCACCAGACAAACCAAGUUGCCCAAAAACUCAUGACCACCCAACCCAAAAUCGCCUAACACGAAAGGAUGCAUCUCGCUACCUCGGUGGCCUAGUGUUGCCUCACCAGACGAACCAAGUCACCUAACACGAAGGGACGUAUAUCGCCUACCCCUGGUGGCGACUUGGUUCGCAUCACCCGACGAACUAAGUCGCCUAAGAACCCAUGACCGCCUACCCGCAUAUCACAUAAGACGGGGGGAUGCAUCUCGCCUAACACGAAGGGGGGGGGGGGCAUUGCGAAUCGAAAAUGUAAAGGAACCAAACACUAAAAUCGCUAAAAUCAAACCAAACUCAGUGAGCAGCCUUUACAUAGUUGCAGGGAAAUUUUCUACUACUAGGUUCUUGGGUUUUUUUUGCCUCCCUUUCUUUUGUGUUCUUGUAAGCAUCUAGACUUCAACUACAAGCUUUUUAUUUUGCGAGGAACUACAAAUACAUUAUUGGCCAUUUUUGUCUUGUGGACACCCAGCCCAAACCAGGGAGACACGGUAGCAAGACACAUGCACGCUGAAAGAAACCAAAUACAGUUGGAAAAGAUAGCAUAUGUCUUACAAGUUAAUCUUUAAUGAAAGAGCAAAUUAAACUACAUGUUAAUCAUAAUGGAAGAGCAAACUGCACUGCACUAACAACAGAAACUUGUCUUUCCAGAAUAGUAGUUCAGUCAAAAAGGAACGUGAUAGAUUCUUCUUUUGUAGUGGGAUUGCAGAACAUUGCGUUUAUAAGCAGCCAUACAUCAUGAAUAGUUAUAGAUUUUAAAGAUUUUCAGAAUACUGUGUUUACCAGAAUAGAUUAAGCAAGCAGAAAGUAGAGGAUUUUAAAAUCUACAAAAUAGUCACUUAAGCCAUACAUAGCUACUUUUGUUCCAUGAGCAAUAGCAAUUAUAAUGGAAAUUAAUGACUCGGACUGAGGAACAUACCACAGAUACAAGCAUCCGUGUACAUUAAACUGAGGAACAUACAAUGGUUUUUUUGCCUACCCUUUCUUGUGUGUUCUUCUAAGCAUCUAGACUUCAAAUACAAGCUAUUUGUUUUGUGAGCAACUACAAAUACAUUAUUGCCCAUUUUUAACUAUGCACAGAUUGCCUACACAGAUUACCAACACACAAUAACUCUGCUUCUUUUUUUCUGUUCUUUUUUUUUUUUUGCAGACACAAGGUGCAAGACAAUAGAGAAGAUGCAAUUCAAGAGUCAACAACUUUUAUCUAUAAUCCAGUUCUACAGGGUACAGGGGAUGCAAGAACAGGGGAGACAAGAUACAAGUCAAGGUCUGCAACACUUUUGUACAGGGGGGCAAUUCUUGCAACUAGAAGAUUAGGGGGGACGGAGGUACAGAGAGGGAAAUCAACUAGUUUUAGCAGUAAAAGAAGUUCAUGGCCAGAAAUUUCUGGAACAACACCUUUUUUACCUUCCCUGUUUUCACUGGGGGAAACUUGCCCAGCUACACCAAUUCUCUUGCCCACAAUUCUUCAGAUUUAUUGCCUGAUCAGCAUGAAGAAUUGCAGACACAUUUUUUUGGGCGUGUUCUGAUCUUUCUUCUCCACGAUUUUGUGCCUUGAUCUCUUGCCCUUUUUACUUCUGUUUUUUCGCUGUGGGAGGAGAGCUCACCAAACGCUAGGCAUUGGCGUCUGGCGGCGGCUGGGGGGAAGGAGUCGCACGGGGGAUCUGGUCUGGUGGGGCGUAGGAUUUUCUGGUGGUGGGUGUGAAAGAAGGAUCACGUGAGGGGAUGGUUGUCGGGACCUGGCAACGAGAAGUGGAAGACUUGCCUUUUUCACACAUGGGCGGGGGACCGACAGGGAUGCACCUUCCAUAAAUUACCGGCCACGAGCCUAGCCCGCAUAGCGCGCGGGCGCUGUGUAGCACCGUCCUUAUAUUUUUAGGUAUUCCAGGAUCAUAGUCCAGUUGAUCAGGGGUGGGGGUGGGCAAGUUUUUGCAAAUGAAUCUGUAGUUAUCAUAGGCAAGUUUUUCUCAAAUGCAGACUGGUAGGGGUCAGGGAGCCUUUAGAGCACGGCAAAUAUACAUAGCUGACUGAUAGGGUUUUUUUGGGGAAUUUUUCACUGAUAGUUUUUAACAAAGAAGCCACACGAAGCUCACAUAUCUCUUCCCACAUGCUUGUAUUUUUUCACAGCAGGGACAUAUUUGUUUUUUGUUGCUGAAAACACGGGAUUGAUCGCCUCCCAAUUUUCAUCAAGUUGCCCAAGGAUAGCAGACAGCCAAAAUCGCCUAACCACGCACGGCAAGUCGGCAAAAUCAACGAGCUUUAGUCGCCUACUAAACAACACUUCGGUGUCGCCCACCGCCAUGUGCUUAGUCGCCUUCCAUUUUUUCAUCAAGUCGCCCAAGGAAAGCAGACACCCAAAAAUCGACUAACAGGGAGGGGGUGCAUCUCGCCUACCAGAGUCAGCUAGUGUUACCUCACCUGACGAACCAAGUCGUCUAGAAAACCCACGACCAUCCACCUCCAAAUUGCCUAACACGCAGGGACGCAUCUUGCCUCCCUCGGUGGCCUAGUGUUGCUUCACCAGAUGAACCAAGUCGCCCAAAAACUCAUGACUACCCAAUCCAAAAUCGCCUAACACGGGAGGGGGCGCUUCUUGCCUCCCUCGAUGGCCUAGUGUUGCCUCACCAGGCAAACCAAGUCGCCCAAAAACUCAUGACCACCCAACCCCAAAUCGCCUAAUACGGGAGGGAGCGCCUCUCGCCUCCCUCGGUGGCCUAGUGUUGCCUCACCAGACAAACCAAGUCGCCCAAAAACUCAUGACCAUCCAACCCAAAAUCGCCUAAUACGGGAGGGAGUGCAUCUCGCCUCCCUCGGUGGCCUAGUGUUGCCUCGCCUGACAAACCAAGUCGCCUAGAAAACCCAUGACCAUCCACACCCGAAUUUUCCUAACACGGGAGGGGGCGCUUCUUGCCUCCCUCGGUGGCCUAGUGUCGCCUCACUAGAUGGAUCAAGUCGCCCAAAAACUCUUGACCACCCAACCAAAAAUCGCCUAACACGGGAGGGGGCACUUCUUGCCUCCCUCGGUGGCCUAGUGUCACCUCACCAAACGAACCAAGUUGCCCAAAAACUCAUGACCACCCAACCCAAAAUCGCCUAACACGGGAGGGAGCGCAUCUCGCCUCCCUCGGUGGCCUAUUGUCGCCUCACCAGACAAACCAAGUUGCCCAAAAACUCAUGACCACCCAACCCAAAAUCGCCUAACACGAAAGGAUGCAUCUCGCUACCUCGGUGGCCUAGUGUUGCCUCACCAGACGAACCAAGUCACCUAACACGAAGGGACGUAUAUCGCCUACCCCUGGUGGCGACUUGGUUCGCAUCACCCGACGAACUAAGUCGCCUAAGAACCCAUGACCGCCUACCCGCAUAUCNNNNNNNNNNNNNNNNNNNNNNNNNNNNNNNNNNNNNNNNNNNNNNNNNNNNNNNNNNNNNNNNNNNNNNNNNNNNNNNNNNNNNNNNNNNNNNNGGGGGGGGGGGCAUUGCGAAUCGAAAAUGUAAAGGAACCAAACACUAAAAUCGCUAAAAUCAAACCAAACUCAGUGAGCAGCCUUUACAUAGUUGCAGGGAAAUUUUCUACCACUAUGUUCUUGGGUUUUUUUGCCUCCCUUUCUUUUGUGUUCUUGUAAGCAUCUAGACUUCAACUACAAGCUUUUUAUUUUGCGAGCAACUACAAACACAUUAUUGGCCAUUUUUGUCUUGUGGACACCCAGCCCAAACCAGGGAGACACGGUAGCAAGACACAUGCACGCUGAAAGAAACCAAAUACAGUUGGAAAAGAUAGCAUAUGUCUUACAAGUUAAUCUUUAAUGAAAGAGCAAAUUAAACUACAUGUUAAUCAUAAUGGAAGAGCAAACUACACUGCACUAACAACAGAAACUUGUCUUUCCAGAAUAGUAGUUCAGUCAAAAAGGAACGUGAUAGAUUCUUCUUUUGUAGUGGGAUUGCAGAACAUUGCGUUUAUAAGCAGCCAUACAUCAUGAAUAGUUAUAGAUUUUAAAAAUUUUCAGAAUACUGUGUUUACCAGAAUAGAUUAAGGAAGCAGAAAGUAGAGGAUUUUAAAAUCUACAAAAUAGUCACUUAAGCCAUACAUAGCUACUUUUGUUCCAUGAGCAAUAGCAAUUAUAAUGGAAAUUAAUGACUCGGACUGAGGAACAUACCACAGAUACAAGCAUCCGUGUACAUUAAAGUGAGGAACAUACAAUGGUUUUUUUGCCUACCCUUUCUUGUGUGUUCUUCUAAGCAUCUAGACUUCAACUACAAGCUAUUUGUUUUGUGAGCAACUACAAAUAUAUUAUUGCCCAUUUUUAACUAUGCACAGAUUGCCUACACAGAUUACCAACACACAAUAACUCUGCUUCUUUUUUUCUGUUCUUUUUUUUUUGCAGACACAAGGUGCAAGACAAUAGAGAAGAUGCAAUUCAAGAGUCAACAACUUUUAUCUAUAAUCCAGUUCUACAGGGUACAGGGGAUGCAAGAACAGGGGAGACAAGAUACAAGUCAAGGUCUGCAACACUUUUGUACAGGGGGGCAAUUCUUGCAACUAGAAGAUUAGGGGGGACGGAGGUACAGAGAGGGAAAUCAACUAGUUUUAGCAGUAAAAGAAGUUCAUGGCCAGAAAUUUCUGGAACAACACCUUUUUUACCUUCCUUGUUUUCACUGGGGAAACUUGCCCAGCUACACCAAUUCUCUUGCCCACAAUUCUCCAGAUUUAUUGCCUGAUCAGCAUAAAGAAUUGCAGACACAUUUUUUU
rnacentral:lncRNA from 1 species